AGAGUAGAAAUGAGCCGAGGAUGACUUGCGAGAAUUUGGUAUUAUUCUAUCGAACUUCUUAUGGGAAGUCAUUCUUGGUUCACCUUUGCUCUCU
rnacentral:miRNA from 1 species